UGCCUGAGUAUAUAAACACUACACAUUUACUACGCGCAUCCCAUCGAUCCCUCUUGACUCAAUCACUCAAACUGUGUUCUUCUCAUCAGAGAGAUUGAUUAAUUAAUAAUGGGUAGAGCCAUGGCGGCGGUGGUCAUGGACGAGCAGAAGGCGGCGUGGCCGGAGGUGGUCGGGCUAAGCUCCAGGAUGGCGGCGAGGAAGAUCCACGGCGACCGGCCGGACGUGUCGCUGGAGUUCCACCUGGUGGGCGACAACGUGCCGCCGAGCUUCGACGCCCACCGCGUCCGCAUCUUCCUCUCUCCGGCCACCGCCAAAGUCGCCCAGACGCCCGUCGUCGGCUAGCCGUCCGUCGGUCGUCAACGUUGCCGGCAUGCUGCUGCAGACUCUGCUCUAAUAUGGGUGUACCACUACUGUUUUUGCACUACUUAUAGUGUAAUACUGGAAUAAUGACGACGAUGCAUAUAUAGUAUGGACGAUGCGUUUUCGAUUA